GAUGAACGCUGGCGGCGUGCCUAAUACAUGCAAGUCGAGCGAACAGAUAAGGAGCUUGCUCCUUUGACGUUAGCGGCGGACGGGUGAGUUACUUGUGGGUCACCUACCUAUAAUACAGGUCAAACUUCGGGAAACCGGAGCUUACACCGGAUAACAUCUUGCACCGCUUGGUUCUAAAGUGAAAGUUGGUUUUUCUAUCACUUAUAGAUGGACCCGCGCCGUGUUAGCUAGUUGGUAAGGUAACGGCUUUCCAAGGCAACGAUACGUAGCCGACCUGAGAGGGUGAUAGGCCACAUGGGAACGGGGACGGGCUCAAGACUCCUGCGGUAGGCACCAGUAGGGAAUGUUCGGCAAUGGUCGCAAGUCUGACGGAGCAAAGCCGAGUGAGAGAUGAAAGGGUUGGGUUCGUAAAGAUCUGUUAUUAGGAAAGAACAACUGUGUAAUUGGAGGUAGCCGUCUUGACGGUACCGAAUCAGGAAGCGACGGCUAACUACGUG
rnacentral:rRNA from 1 species